rnacentral:RNase_P_RNA from 1 species
GAGGAAAGUCCGGGCUCCAUAGGGCAGGGUGCCAGGUAACGCCUGGGAGGCGCAAGCCUACGACAAGUGCAACAGAGAGCAAACCGCCGAUGGCCCACGCAAGUGGGAUCAGGUAAGGGUGAAAGGGUGCGGUAAGAGCGCACCGCGCGGCUGGCAACAGUCCGUGGCACGGUAAACUCCACCCGGAGCAAGGCCAAAUAGGGGUUCACAUGGUACGGCCCGUACUGAACCCGGGUAGGCUGCUUGAGCCAGUGAGCGAUUGCUGGCCUAGAGGAAUGACUGUCCACGACAGAACCCGGCUUA